UCAGGACGAACGCUGGCGGCGUGCCUAAUACAUGCAAGUCGAGCGGACUUGUGAGAGCUUGCUCUCGCAAGUUAGCGGCGGACGGGUGAGUAACACGUGGGCAACCUGCCUGUAAGACUGGGAUAACUUCGGGAAACCGGAGCUAAUACCGGAUAAUUCUUUUCUACACAUGUAGGAAAGCUGAAAGAUGGCUUCGGCUAUCACUUACAGAUGGGCCCGCGGCGCAUUAGCUAGUUGGUGAGGUAACGGCUCACCAAGGCAACGAUGCGUAGCCGACCUGAGAGGGUGAUCGGCCACACUGGGACUGAGACACGGCCCAGACUCCUACGGGAGGCAGCAGUAGGGAAUCUUCCGCAAUGGACGAAAGUCUGACGGAGCAACGCCGCGUGAGUGAUGAAGGUUUUCGGAUCGUAAAACUCUGUUGUUAGGGAAGAACAAGUACCGUUCGAAUAGGGCGGUACCUUGACGGUACCUAACCAGAAAGCCACGGCUAACUACGUGCCAGCAGCCGCGGUAAUACGUAGGUGGCAAGCGUUGUCCGGAAUUAUUGGGCGUAAAGCGCGCGCAGGUGGUUCCUUAAGUCUGAUGUGAAAGCCCACGGCUCAACCGUGGAGGGUCAUUGGAAACUGGGGAACUUGAGUGCAGAAGAGGAAAGUGGAAUUCCACGUGUAGCGGUGAAAUGCGUAGAGAUGUGGAGGAACACCAGUGGCGAAGGCGACUUUCUGGUCUGUAACUGACACUGAGGCGCGAAAGCGUGGGGAGCGAACAGGAUUAGAUACCCUGGUAGUCCACGCCGUAAACGAUGAGUGCUAAGUGUUAGGGGGUUUCCGCCCCUUAGUGCUGCAGCUAACGCAUUAAGCACUCCGCCUGGGGAGUACGGCCGCAAGGCUGAAACUCAAAGGAAUUGACGGGGGCCCGCACAAGCGGUGGAGCAUGUGGUUUAAUUCGAAGCAACGCGAAGAACCUUACCAGGUCUUGACAUCCUCUGCCAACCCUAGAGAUAGGGCGUUCUCUCUUCGGGGGACAGAGUGACAGGUGGUGCAUGGUUGUCGUCAGCUCGUGUCGUGAGAUGUUGGGUUAAGUCUCGCAACGAGCGCAACCCUUGAUCUUAGUUGCCAGCAUUCAGUUGGGCACUCUAAAGGUGACUGCCGGUGACAAACCGGAGGAAGUGGGGAUGACGUCAAAUCAUCAUGCCCCUUAUGACCUGGGCUACACACGUGCUACAAUGGAUGGUACAAAGGGCUGCGAGACCGCGAGGUUAAGCGAAUCCCAUAAAACCAUUCUCAGUUCGGAU
rnacentral:rRNA from 1 species